AGUGGAAAAAAUCUUCCUCUCUUCUUCCCCAUCCGUAGCUUCACUUUGCCCGUCCCUGCCUCAUCCCCGAUUUCGGCGAUUUCUCCUCUCCUCGUCCUGCGAUUUCUGCGAUUCAAAUGGACUGGCAAUCCCUUCGGCAAUCCCUCUCCGCGCGCAGGCACCAGCAAUGUUUCUCUGUUCGAUUCAACUUUUCUUCAAAGGUUUGGUCUCGAUCUUAGUUAUCCUCGUGGCUUCUUGUUUGGUCCCGAUUUAACAUGCUGCCUGGCCGCUUCGUGGUGCUCCCCCAAAUCCCUGAUGCCCUUGUUGCGCGGCCGCCUCAUGUUGUCGAGCAACCACCCAUCCCCAUCUUUCCGCGGCCUAAUUUUCUAGGUCUUUCUCCUCCCCUUGUUGCGCCACGAGGAGACGUGGGCAGUGGCAGUCUGUUGCGUCCCCAACUUUGCAGGAUCUCAACCCUGCCAUGCCCUCCGUGCCCCGCCCUUUCCUCUUCACCCUGAAUCCUAGGUCUUCUAGUUUUUAUGGUCAUUUGGCUUGGUUUUCCUCUGUAUCUGAAGAACCUUUUCGUGAUUGGGAGGUAUGCCGUUUCAGAUGGUUGUCCCCUUGUCCUUAAAAUCAGUAUAUGCAGUUUCAGUGUACACUUGAUGAUAGCUCCAACAUUGCCGGCUCACCUGCAUCUGAAGACACGUUUCAUGGGCAGGAGAUGAACAACAUAUCCGCCGUGUUCUCUAUCAAUUCAGAGACUGAUUAUCCUAUCAAGGGCCAUCUUGUCUAUGCUACUAGCCUUCGCGUCUUGCUCGUACUAGUGCUUGCGACCUUGUUUCUCCUGCAUAAUUGCUAUAUAUAGUAUACAAAGGUUCAAAGAGUGAUUUUUGUGUUAUUAUUCUCAAGUUCAUGUUGAUGUGCAUACCCCUGCUGCUCUGUUCUGCAUCUACAUAAUGAGUGUGCAUGAAUCCCCGCAGGUGUGCAUGAAUUUUGCUCCCCAUCUGCAAACAUUCGAUGGCAAAGUUCAGGUGUUUUCAUAAAAAAUUAAAGUGUCUGUCAGCUAAGAAGGAUUCGACCUACACCUUUGUUUUCCUCCUAGCUUUGUUCAGAUCAAUUGUCAACCUUCAACUGGUUCAAUCCUGGGUGUCUCUUGAGAUGAAUAAUAACAUUAAAAAAUAUUCAAUCCAGUUGAUUGAGAAACUUCUUUCUAGCAGAAGCAAUACAAUACCUAGUAUAUUAAGUAUUAGAAUGCUCUAAAUAAUAGAAUGUGGCAAGCAACUCGUUCCUAUUUCAUCAUGAACUUAUUUGUAAUUGUCCCUAUCUAGAAAUUACAACCUGCUCACCUUUUGUUCAGCUGCUAUUGUGUGUUUUCAAUAUGCUAGGCAAGAAAGGUCUGUCCAGACAUUUGGUCUAGAUUAUCCUGAACAUUUUGCAUAGCAUCGCAUUCCCAAUUAUCCAUUCGAUCAGUGUGCCUCUCUCUUACAACCCUUUCUGUCUCUUUUGAACUGUUUCAGUUUGUUUAGUCUUCUCCAGGCAUUAUUGGACUGAUUUAAUCUAUUAUGAAGUGUCAACCUUAUUAGUUUCUAACAUGUCAACCUCAUUUGUUUGUAACAGUUUGUGAAAUGUCAGUUCCAGCAAUCAUGUCCCUCUUCUACUCACUCUUUACUAUCUACAGUCACUUAAAUGUUCACUAAAAGAUCAAAGUAUCUGCUUCUUUACCGAUCACAUAAUCCUUUGCAUUUCAAACAUAUAUAAUUUAACUGUGUGUAUGCUUCACCAUUCGUCCUUUUCUAAAAUCUCGCAGUUCUGUUACCAACAGAAAAUAGAAAGACUACACAAUUCUUCUAAAUUCUCCUAAAACUCCAUACUUUGUGAGUGAAUGAUAGAAUUAUACAUUUAAAUGACUUCUAAAACUGCCUAUUCUUGUGCUUGACUGACAGUUUUACACUUACUUAAAGGAGCCAUAUGAACCAAUUUAAAUAGAUGCACUUCUGAAUAGGUGCACUUUCUUUUUUGUAGCUCAUUUGAGCUAGUUCAGCAAAAGCUCACUCUAUGAUGUUGCGGCAUAGACGGCACUGAUGAACUUGGUGCUGAAUGUUUCCCCCGGGUCUCGCUUCGGGUAAAGGUUUCUUACAUAUUCCUUGUCUGUGAUGGAAUUGCUUGCAAUGUUUGAUAAACCGCUAGUAGCCAUGGACAUCUUUCUGGUCUCUGCACUCACCUGUUGCUAUUCCAGGGCUUGUUUAUGAUUUUUUUUACUAUCCGGUUCUUAUGAUUCGACAUACACUUCUAAAACUGCAUAAUUUCGUCCUAUACUGGAUGUUUCAUGCUUCUUUAAUGAGAUGCUAUAAGAACCAAUUAAAAAAAUUCUUCUGAAAUUACAUAUAUUUGAUGAAGCAAUGAGUUAUUCUUGGCUAGCUGAAGUGAACAUUGUCAAGAAUAUCUGAAUUAUUAUCUUUGGAAGAGAUCUUGUCUCAACAACACCUGAAUUUUAAAAUUCUAAAGGACUUAGAUGAUGUUUGCAGUUUGCAUGCUAUACAACUAGUGGUAUAUUUAUGUUUUUCCAUAAGUCAUCAUCCCUUUUUUGUUGGCUGUAGAUAAUUGCCCUUGCUGUUAUCAUGUUGAAUUGGUGCAAACAAACAAAUAAUAAGGAUUUAGUUACAUAUAAAAUCUAGGACACAAAAAACUACAACACGAGAAACAAGGAUUACGAAAUUGAACAUUAUGGUUGACUACCAAUACAUUUUGGCCUAUAUCAUAACAUUUCAUCAUGGUACAUAGAGCAGAAAAUGUACCAGAACAUAGAGUAGAAUUUCAAGAAUAAAUAGUUGGCUACACAAACCUUUUGCUACACAAAUAGGCAAACUGUAUGUUAUUGAGAAUGGCCCACAUAAAGAAAACAUGAUGUAUACCAUAGGUGAACAUUACUUAUAAGCAAUUUGAAAUUGAACUUCAAUUAUUUGAAUUUGGAGACUUCCAUGCUUUUGUGCUAUCUUACGAGGCCUAGGAGCUAGGAUACUUCCUGCUUUUCUGCUAUUUUUCCUGGACAAAGAAUUUGAAACUUUCAUCUAGAGGAAUUUUUCUUGCAAAUAAUUGAUGCUAGAACUUGGAAAGACAUUUGAUAUGGAUUAUAGGAAGUUAUAUCUGCAAUACCCAUACGCAUGGGCGGGAAUCUGAUUUUUUUAGUCCACAAUAACUGUACUUUCCUCAUCCUUCAAAUUGUAAACAUUUUGUUUAUGGUAUUUGCAUUGAGUAUUUUCCAUAUCAACAAGAGAAGUACUCAUAGAUAACGAGAGGGAUAUCACACUGUUUCUGAUAUCGUGACCUUUCUGAUAAUCCAAAAUGAAGAUAACGGAAAAUUCAUGUGUUAGACCCAACCAUGAUGAACACCUCUUCCUUGAACUGUACUUUCCGACAUCAAGAACUGGUGACUGCAAUUCACAAAGCAUUAAUUUCCUGCAUCAAUUAUUUCUUCAAUGGAUAGGAAGUUCCAGAAGAUUGUUGGGAAUAUGAAUUCCCAGUAGACAUAAGUGCCAGAUGCAGAUUGCAAGUAUUUCCUGCAUCAAUUAUGCUGAUUUUUUUUUGCAUUUCCCCAUUAGCGCGAACACUGGCCUCUACGUUGUACACUAUGCUCGUGCUUUUGAUGGACAGUGGGUUGAUUUUGAUCUCAAAGAACAAUCUGAGGUUCUCAAAAUUUCCCAUGUUACUCACUGUUUUUUGUAGCCUUUUAUUUUUCCUUUGUAGUGCUUCACACUUUUCCUAUUUGCAGUGCAAUUUAGCUGAGCCCUGAGCGGAGAUCCUUUACUCCCUACUAACAAUGGUUGGCAAUGCUGGUUAUCAACCUGAAGAUCUUCUUGAGAAGCUUGGUUUCCAGGUCUAGAAGCUUGUUCCUCAAUGUGCAAGGCAUUGUGGAAGCAUAUUUGGGGAUGCUAAACUAGUUUCCACUGCUAUGUAUUAUUUUGUUGUAGCCUUGGUUCAUCCCCUGUACUAAUGCUAUGUACCCCGUGUGCUAGUCUUUUACUAUUUACACUACAUUAUGUUAUCAAUGCUUGAUACAUUUGAUUUAUCACAGCAGCCUCUGACCUCUCCCUUGUAAAA